UCGCUCCGGCUUGCAGGCAGAUCCCAUCCCAAUCGCCCAGCUCCUACGGGGUAGAAGGAUGGACUCGCCUAGAUCUUCAGCGCGCUCGGCGGGGGCGGGUGGUGCUGGAGUACUCCGUGAGGAGUGCCUCUUCGACGUCGAUACUGGAUCCAGAUGAGGCAGCACGAGGAACGGAUCGGAGCGCGGCGCGUACAACGAAUGAAGCGGAACGACAAUGGAUGGAGGUCGCCGGACUCGGGGUUGAUGGCCUCGAGGAGGUGGUACAGGCGCUGCAUGCGACAGUUCUCCGUCACCGGCAACCGUGCCGGCGGUGAUCAUUAAGUUUGGAAGCCGGCGCCGGCGGCCUCGAGGAGGUGAUCGUUAAGUUUGGAAGCGAUCUAGGCCGCGCCGGCGGCCGUGAUCGUUGUCGAGGACUUCGGCAAGUACUGCGGCGUCCGGCAGCGUCCCUGUGGCAAGUACGCGGCGGAGAUCCACGAUCUGAAGCGUCGGGGAUCUGAAGCGUCCAGGCCGCGCGCGGAUUGGGGAUCCGCCGGCAAGAUGGAGCGAGCCGAGGAAGACGACCAGAAGACCGCUCACUGGCUGAUGGGCCCUUUCGCUUGGGAAAGAAAGAGUCGUUGGAUCAAGAAUGAACGGUGGAGAUGGUGGGGAAGUUGCAACGUGACGUCGUUGAGUAAAUACUGAAUCCGGCUCUGGUGUGAAGUGGGAUCGGACCAGAGCGGCAAGGCAAGGAGGAUGAAAUCCAUUAUGCCAGUUUCAGGAGAGUUUUAUGGACACAUUAUUUUAUAGAAACUAAUUUUUUUUUAAAUAUUGGAAACUCUAAUCAAGACAACAUGAUUCUCGUUCGAGGGUUAUGCGCA